rnacentral:rRNA from 1 species
GAUGAACGCUGGCGGCGUGCCUAACACAUGCAAGUCGAACGGAGCUGCUUUGAUGAGAUCUUCGGAUGGAUUUAAAACAGCUUAGUGGCGGACGGGUGAGUAACGCGUGGGUAACCUGCCUCACACUGGGGGAUAACAGUUAGAAAUAGCUGCUAAUACCGCAUAAGCGCACGGUAUCGCAUGAUACAGUGUGAAAAACUCCGGUGGUAUAAGAUGGACCCGCGUCUGAUUAGCUAGUUGGUGAGGUAACGGCCCACCAAGGCGACGAUCAGUAGCCGGCCUGAGAGGGUGAACGGCCACAUUGGGACUGAGACACGGCCCAAACUCCUACGGGAGGCAGCAGUGGGGAAUAUUGCCACAAUGGGGGGAAACCCUGAUGCAGCGACGCCGCGUGAGUGAUGAAGUAUUUCGGUAUGUAAAACUCUAUCAGCAGGGAAGAUAAUGACGGUACCUGACUAAGAAGCACCGGCUUAAA